CCAAACCCAGAUCCCCCUUCCUCCGUCUCAUUCCCCUCGUCCCUGGUGGCGGCACACCACUCGUAUCUUCCUCUCUCCACCAAACGCGAGCUCCUCCCCCCCGCACCACUCCUCGCCGCCACCACCACCACCACCUACGGCGCCCGAUCCCGUCCUCUAGUGGCGCCGAGCUCACCACGGUGACCCCAUCCCUCCGCUCCUUCCUCUCAUCGGGCCAGAUCGGGCGCGCGCGUCCUCCAGUGGCCAAGCGCGACCCCCGAUUCAGCCGGCCCGCCACCCGCGCCCGCGCGCCACCACCCGCUCCUCCUCGCCUCCCAUAGGACGCAGACCCCACGCCACUCUUCCUCCGCCCACCGACCCACCCCGUCCCUGAUGCCUCACUCGCCGCCUUCCGCCGCAGGGCCGCCGCGCUCGUCCCGUCCUCGGCGCCGCACCUCCACCGCCACCUCCGCUGGCUCCUCGCCAACGCCCCCGCCUCGUGCACGAGCGGCCGGAGCACGUCGUCCACCCCGCGCACGCGGCGCUCGACACGCUCGACGUCUUCGAUACGGAGCAGGACAUCAAGGACCCGGAGCACCCCUACCCGCUGGAGCACAUACGAUGUGUGCUCUCCCAGGAGUAUGUCUCCGUCUCCCAGUAGUCCGUCUCCGUCUCCGUCUACCAGUACUCGCUGGAGCAGAUACGUAUACCUGCAAGAAUGUGCUGCUCAAGGUUUCUAGUGAUUAUUAAGAGUUCGGUUUGGGACUAGAAGGUGCUGCUCAAGGUGUGAGGAGGAGCCUGUGGCUGAGACUGCAUCGGGACAGAUGCUGCAACCCAUCACAGCGAAUUCCUCGGCCUCUGUUACGGCCGAUGCAGCAGUUACUCAGGACACCAUUCAUACCUCGCUUCCACUUCUACAUUUUCUUUCUCUGUUCUAGUUACUUAUGUGAUUUAUUCAUGUAGAAUCUCUACUUUAUGCCAAUAGCUGCCUGUACCAUUGUUCUACUAUCUGUGUGAUGCCGAACAACAUGCUCUUAAUCUAUUGCUAAAUUCUGUGUACUUGUGACGUAGCUGACAUGUAGAAUCUCUACUUAAUAUGCCAAUAGUUGACAUGUAUUAUGUGCCAACAUGCCAAUUGUUGCUGCUGUAUUCUGUGUACUUGUGAUGUACUCCGUAGCUGACAUGUGGAAUCUCUACUUAAUAUGCCAAUAGCUGACAUGUAGAAUCUCUACUUAAUAUGUUCUACCAGUAUUAUGUGCUUUCUAUCCUGCAAUGCUAUCGGGGUAUUGCAAUUGUUGCUGCUGUAUUCUGAUUACUUGUUGUGACUGGUAUUGAGAGAUUUUGGUGGUUGCUUUCAGUAUAUUUAACUUGGAGUUCUCCAGUACUCCUAGAUUUGCUACUCAAACAAAUUUUGAGUACUUUCAUUGGAAAGGAGUGAAAUACUCCUGGUACUUGCAUAGGUUUAAAAAUUACUUGCUUAGGUUUAAAAAUAUUGAUGGUACUUGUGAUGAAACCAACAAGCAACUUGCUAACCUCUUUCAGUGUUCAAUCAUCUUUUCAUUCUUAAAUUUUAGUGUUCAAUUUCAGAUUAUACAAACUGGUGUCUGUUGUUCUUUUUCUUUUUUGAACUAAACUAGAAGUAGGAAUUCAUUUUAUCGGGUUAGUGUUGUAAAUUGUGGAUGCUUCCUUUUUGUUAUUGGCUUAUUACUUGCUUGAUUUGGGACAUCUACAACUGAAAUUAUUAUGAUGCCAUAUUUUUUAUAUUACUCCAUGCUCACCAAGUUAUUGAGUUGAAGUUGUCGUUGUUUGCUGUCAAGAUUUGCUUAUCCUGGAUACAUGGUUAUGUUUUGUGUACUGCUGUCCUGAUGUUGAGCUGUUCAAUUUCACUGUUGUACCGCUGUCAAGAUCCUGCUGUACCGCUAUUCAGUUUCAGUUAAAUUUCAGUACUGUUGGAGUAAAUUUCGCUGUUCGAUGAUUGUACUCCAGUGUUCAAUUUCGCUGUUCAAUGAUUGUACUCCAGUGUUUAAUUUCCUGAUUGAGUAAAUUUCAAUGUUCAAUUUCAGUAAAAGCAGUACAUGUACCAGCGGCAGCAGCUCCUGUGGCAGCGGCGGUAGCACCUGGGCAGGCGUGGAACAGCCUGGGCUUGGAAUGGCCUGAGCGCGGGCCAGGAGGAGCCCCUGCGUGUGGGCGGCAGCAGAGCACGCCUGGGCGGAGGCAGCGCCUACUCUACUUGCUUGGCUACUACAGUGAUGCAUGCACCGGUGAAGCACGCACACAUGCUUGCCUGUCCGCAUGUAUCUUCAUUGCUACGAACAUCAUCUAGAUGACAAGCUACAAGCUCCCAGCGCGUCUGAUCCAGGGUGCAUUAGGGCCAACCUGUUACGGAAGAUGGCCAUGCUCACGAGCCCCUCUGGAUCAAAAUAGGUAUUCCUUUCUGCCUCUUUGGAUUCACUCAUAUUUUGCCUCCUGGAUUGAUGGAUUUGUCCUAUGGUGCUGUAAUUGUAAAGUCUGGUCCUAAUUUACUUUCUGUAUUUUCGAGGCUUUAUCAAGCCCUUGGUGUUGAUUGAGUGUUUGCUCCUCUAAUGUUCAUGAAGUCCAUUGUUAUAUACCUCUCAUUGUAGAUGGCAAAUUGUGGCAGCUGGAGCAUGUCUCAUUAGAGAGAGCAAUGAAAUCCAUUGUAUUGUUCCGUCAAAACAAAAGUACAUUGUACUGUUAUGAUAGUAGCAGAAGUUUCGUCAUUUUCUUAUUGUAUAUUCCCUUCAUUCCUGCUAUAUUCCUGUGUAAGGAAAUGUAUUCCUGAGAUGAUUUUUUGUGUUAUGUAAACCUGGGAGAUGUGUUAUGUGAUGUGAUAUGAUGGUUGACUUGAA